rnacentral:rRNA from 1 species
GCCCCUCCCUUCUCUUCGUGCCGCCGGCCGUCGCGGCGACGCAGAGUGGCCCAGAUGCGGCCACCCCGUGGUUGGCCUCGACGAGCACGGCCUCGAUCCGGCCUCGGCAGGAAGACCUCGAGCCAAGGAGCGCGGCCUCGAUCGGGUCUCGGCAUCUGGGGCGGCGACGGAGGAGGGGAAAGGAGGGGAGCAGCAGCCAGCAUCGGGACAGUGGCGGCGACUUGACUCCAUAAGCUGGUCGAGGUGGUUCAAGUAAGGCCGGUGGUGGGGUCAAGGGGCAGGGGAGGCGGGCGAAGAGGAUAAGAAGCAGCCGGCCCGUCGCGAUGGUGUGAGGCUGCAGGGAAGAGGAAGGAGGAGGACGACGGGGUGAAUGAGUAGGUCAGCCCUCAUGGAGACGGCGCCGCCGGCCAGGGGCGCUGUUGGCGCGCUGGACGUCGUCCUUCUCAACCCGUGCUCGCCUCCCCUCGCUUCUGGCGCCCAGGAGCUCGAGUAGGAAGAGGAGACCUCGAUGGCCUGCGGCUCGCGGAGACCCGCGCAUCCUCUAACCUCGACAAGAUCAGGCAAUUCCUUUCAAUCCAUGGAACAGUGUGUGCGUUAGGCGAUAGCAAGGCCGUCGGACAAUCAUGAUGCUAUUUUCUUAUUUGAAAUCAGAAUGCUACUAGGACAUUCUUAAUUUUGGAAAAUCAGAUCAAACAGGAGAUAUGAUUGGUACCUGGUGAUACAAUUGGAGAAAGGGAUAUGAUAUGUCUGGCAAUGGUUUAGGAAGGUAUUCACUUAUCCGAAACAAAAGCAUAGAUACAAUUGGUGUUCAGAUUGUUAGGGACGAGGAUCAUCAGUGGCCAUGCAGGAGCAACAACAGGAGAUCAUGCCCAGUUCGUGAAUUUAUUCUCCUAGCUUGGAGGCUUCCUGCUCAAGGAGGGAGCAGCAGGCAUAGAAGAAAUCCCAAGCCAAUUUUGCUCAGCUGUAGCAUCUUCCACUGAUAAUAAGUCUGCACAGCAGCCUGGUUGAUGUUCUUGCUCAGUAUAAGCCAACAAUGGAGAAAUUGACCAAGCUAUGUUUCAUGAUCAGUUACAGACCAAGCCUAUCUUUUUGCUGCUUCUACAUGUUGCUAUGAUGGUCAUUCAGCCCAUUUUCUUGAACGUGCACUACAACGAGAGAUCUGGGCUGCUUCUUUGUGGCUUCCAAAUUUAAAGUGUUUGUUUGGAAGUUAGUUUAGUUUUUUGUUGUGGAUUCACAGCUUCUCACAUGUACCGUCCUCUUAGACCUUUAGAUUUUCAAAGAAACUAAAUGAAGAUAUGGUGGUAUGGUCUCAAUAGUACAACUUAAAGCCUUCCAUGCUUUAUAUUUUGUCUGAAAUUUGCUCUGGAAGAAUCAUGUAUCUAUGUUAGAUCCGAUGAGAAAAGGCGG